UUUUGUCUGGCAACUCCCAGGGAUCACGGCAGGUCCAGAUAACAUUUUAAUCUUCUUUGACUCGACCUUUCCAGAGUUCAACACAGAGAGAAGAGGCCUUCUCCUGGCAACCCUUCCUAAAAAGCCUUACUUGUCCAGACUUUUUCUAAUUGUACUGUCAUAAACCUUAUAGUUUAACAAUCUCUGACCAUUGUACACUCUGCUCUGGGGGUGAAUUUGAUGGGGCAUCCAUUAAUGCAGUCCUGUGACAACAUUCUUUAUGGUAUCACUGUAUAAAACUAAUUCCUACAGCAAAGAAUGUAUAUAACACUUAAAACAUACUAUAAAUAAAAGAAUCUGUGAAAACAUGGUGUUUCCUGUUGAUUUUAAACCAAAGCUCUGAAUCUGAUCUGCUCCAUGCAUGUUAUGUCCUACCAUGACUAACUUUCCAU